UACAGAGGUGGCAAGCGUUGUUCGGAAUUACUGGGCGUAAAGGGCGCGUAGGCGGCCUUCUAAGUCAGACGUGAAAUCCCCCGGCUUAACCUGGGAACUGCGUCUGAUACUGGGAGGCUUGAGUAUGGGAGAGGGAUGUAGAAUUCCAGGUGUAGCGGUGAAAUGCGUAGAUAUCUGGAGGAAUACCGGUGGCGAAGGCGGCAUCCUGGACCAUUACUGACGCUGAGGCGCGAAAAGCUAGGGGAGCAACGGGG
rnacentral:rRNA from 1 species